rnacentral:rRNA from 1 species
AUGCUUGUCGGUACAAACAAACAUGUUCUCUAUGAUUUGGUCUACAUGCUUAUCAAAUUGGUAUUGAUCUUACCGGUGGCCACAGCGAGUGUUGAAAGAGUAUUUUCGGCGAUGAAUCUAGUGAAAAAUAAGUUGAGAAAUAGUAUGAGUGAUGAUCUCAUGAACAACUGUUUAGUAACAUUCAUUGAGCGAGACGUGUUCUUGAAAGUAAGCGAGGAAGAUAUAGUUGAAGAUUUUAUGGCAAUGGAACGUCGUAGAGUUACUUAG